GCUGGGCAUGGUGGCGUGUGCCUGUUAUCCCCAGGAGGCUGAGGUUGCAGUGAGCCGAGAUCCCGCCACUGCACUCCAGCCUGAGUGACAGAGCAAGACUCUGUCUCAAAACAGAAAAACAAACAAACAAGAAUGAGAGAGAGCAAUUAGAAAGAGUAGGAAUAGAUGAAUAGACAGCUCUUUCUUUCUUUUUUUUGAGACAGAGUCUUGCUGUGUUGCCAGGCUGGAGUGUAGUGGCGCAAUCUCGGCUCACUGCAACC
rnacentral:lncRNA from 10 species